rnacentral:rRNA from 1 species
AUUGAACGCUGGCGGCAGGCCUAACACAUGCAAGUCGAGCGGGGUUUUCGGACCUAGCGGCGGACGGGUGAGUAAUGCGUAGGAAGCUGCCCGAUAGAGGGGGAUACCAGUUGGCAACGACUGUUAAUACCGCAUAAUGUCUACGGACCAAAGUGUGGGACCUUCGGGCCACAUGCUAUCGGAUGCGCCUACGUGAGAUU